AUGAACGCUGGCGGCGUGCCUAAUACAUGCAAGUCGAACGAGUUCUGAUUAUUGAAGGGUGCUUGCAUCUUGAUUUAAUUUUGAACGAGUGGCGGACGGGUGAGUAACACGUGGGUAACCUGCCCUUAAGUGGGGGAUAACAUUUGGAAACAGAUGCUAAUACCGCAUAAAUCCAAGAACCGCAUGGUUCUUGGCUGAAAGAUGGCGUAAGCUAUCGCUUUUGGAUGGACCCGCGGCGUAUUAGCUAGUUGGUGAGGUAACGGCUCACCAAGGCAAUGAUACGUAGCCGAACUGAGAGGUUGAUCGGCCACAUUGGGACUGAGACACGGCCCAAACUCCUACGGGAGGCAUCAGUAGGGAAUCUUCCACAAUGGACGCAAGUCUGAUGGAGCAACGCCGCGUGAGUGAAGAAGGCUUUCGGGUCGUAAAACUCUGUUGUUGGAGAAGAAUGGUCGGCAGAGUAACUGUUGUCGGCGUGACGGUAUCCAACCAGAAAGCCACGGCUAACUACGUGCCAGCAGCCGCGGUAAUACGUAGGUGGCAAGCGUUAUCCGGAUUUAUUGGGCGUAAAGCGAGCGCAGGCGGUUUUUUAAGUCUGAUGUGAAAGCCCUCGGCUUAACCGAGGAAGUGCAUCGGAAACUGGGAAACUUGAGUGCAGAAGAGGACAGUGGAACUCCAUGUGUAGCGGUGAAAUGCGUAGAUAUAUGGAAGAACACCAGUGGCGAAGGCGGCUGUCUGGUCUGUAACUGACGCUGAGGCUCGAAAGCAUGGGUAGCGAACAGGAUUAGAUACCCUGGUAGUCCAUGCCGUAAACGAUGAAUGCUAGGUGUUGGAGGGUUUCCGCCCUUCAGUGCCGCAGCUAACGCAUUAAGCAUUCCGCCUGGGGAGUACGACCGCAAGGUUGAAACUCAAAGGAAUUGACGGGGGCCCGCACAAGCGGUGGAGCAUGUGGUUUAAUUCGAAGCAACGCGAAGAACCUUACCAGGUCUUGACAUCUUUUGAUCACCUGAGAGAUCAGGUUUCCCCUUCGGGGGCAAAAUGACAGGUGGUGCAUGGUUGUCGUCAGCUCGUGUCGUGAGAUGUUGGGUUAAGUCCCGCAACGAGCGCAACCCUUAUGACUAGUUGCCAGCAUUUAGUUGGGCACUCUAGUAAGACUGCCGGUGACAAACCGGAGGAAGGUGGGGAUGACGUCAAAUCAUCAUGCCCCUUAUGACCUGGGCUACACACGUGCUACAAUGGAUGGUACAACGAGUUGCGAGACCGCGAGGUCAAGCUAAUCUCUUAAAGCCAUUCUCAGUUCGGACUGUAGGCUGCAACUCGCCUACACGAAGUCGGAAUCGCUAGUAAUCGCGGAUCAGCACGCCGCGGUGAAUACGUUCCCGGGCCUUGUACACACCGCCCGUCACACCAUGAGAGUUUGUAACACCCGAAGCCGGUGGCGUAACCCUUUUAGGGAGCGAGCCGUCUAAGGUGGGACAAAUGAUUAGGGUG
rnacentral:rRNA from 1 species